UGAGUUCAAGACACUUUAGGUGUUGGCGUUGACCAGAAUAGCUUCAAGCUUGGAUUAGCCGGUUGCUCAUUUGAGGUCUCCAUGUUCUCCUGUUCUUCAUCAGAUGGAUUUGAUUGAGGGCGUCUCUCCAGCAUGGCCACGAAGAACCCAUGAGUGCGGGUUUUUGCUGUGCUCGCGCGAAGACACUGGGUCAAAGGCUCAUGACCCCUCUCAGGCCAGUCUGGAAGAAGAUGCACUAAUCUACAAAUACAACAAAAACACUCUUAAAUAUUACUGUUAAUUUUCCUUUACAGACUGAUCGUUUUGCUAUAUAAGACUUCAAUGUAUCUUCAAGAGCCACAAAUAUUAAGUUUGUUCUGCCUGAAUAAGGUGUUUCUUGACUCAAAGCUCCAGCUAUCGUUGACUUGCAUUUUAUGAAUCACCAAUGCUCAGAUUCAGCUAGAAAUCUUCUUUAAUGAUCUACUGAAGAAAGAAAAAGUCACCUACAUCUUGGACAGCCUGAGGGGUUCCGCUGUAAGCAGGCCGUCACAACCUCCUCGUUCUCCUGCGAGUGGAUGGAGCAGGUUGAAUAGACGAUCCGCUCCAGCUGAGGAAACUGCAGAGCAUGAUUCAGACAGUGAAGCUGAAACGCAGCCAGAGCCUGCAGACGACCGUCCUCCUGUGUCUCGGGGAGCUCGUCCCGCAGACAAACCAUCCCUGAAACAAACAAGCACAAUGUCUGAAUGUAAAGUCAAGGCUUCUGUUGGCAUCAAAUCUUCUUGUUGUGAUGAAAUGCUAAAGCUUUUAUCAUGGUAUAUGAUAUUAUUAUGAUAUUGACCUAAGCUGCAAAAAAUAUUGUUUUAACUGGUAUAAUUCAUUUAAUUUGUCAAUUCAUCUUUAUUUCUAUAAUGCUUUUUACAAGGCAGCUUAACAUACAGUGCUCAAUAUAAUUGAGUACACCCCAUUUUGAAAAUGAAUAUUUUUAUCCAUUUCUCAGUGAAUAUAGGUCAUUUUUUGGUGCAUUUGAACAAAAAAUUUAUUAAACGCACAUAUUUAUGAACUAGAAA
rnacentral:lncRNA from 1 species